GAAUAUUUCCCAAGUCCAGCCUUUCCCAGGAGACAGGCAUGAGAAAGAGCCCCUCACUCCAAGUGGGGCUUCACAAGGUCCUGCAAGAACGUGGUCUCGUGAUGCACUGAGCUUGCCGGAUAAAGAGGCAGAACAAGGACGGUGGCCAUGUCAGCGCUGUAACUGGAAUGAGCAGUUCCUGGCUCCUGUUUGAGUGAUUAAAUGGGAACAGGGCCACGUCGCUCCUCCCUCCCUUGGAAAACAAAAGCUGUGGACACUUGCACAGAAAACAGCUUCUCCCUGACAUGUCCGUCCUUGUCUUGCUGCAGUUUUUCCUCUCUGAAGUCAGAUUCCUUUUGGUAGCAUCUUAAUAAGUUAAUGUAAGUGUGAGGUUCGAAACAGACUAGUUUUACUCAAAAGAGGAAUGGGCACGUGCCCUGCCUUCUUGGCGAUCCCCUUAAUAAGUGGCAUUAAGAAAAAGAGCAACUUGUAGCUGCAGUAGGAUGGGACCACAGGACAGAUCUUUAAAAACAGCUUUUCAGAUCUUCAUGAAAGGGCAGCUGCAAUUUAUCCCAUUCUUUACCAUUUGGAGAUGAUUGGAAUCAAGUGUAGAAACACUUGGAUAUUAGGAUUUCAGAGAAAAGCCUGGAAAAACAUUCAUCACUGUCAUGGCGGGUGUUCAUUUUUAAUAAUCUCAGGUUAAUUUUAAAAUAUACUGCAGACUUCUGAAACAUUCAUGUGAGCAAGUCUGUAAGUAUGUUGGCUGUCUGGGGAAGGAAAAUGCUCCGGCUCACAGGACAGUCAUACUGAGGAGCUCUGUUGGACUGAAAACGCUGUUGACGACUUCUGUGACACAGUCUUCAAUGAGAGUAAAAACAUUAAAUAAAUAGCAUCUGAAGUUGUUCCCGGAGGGACUUGCUGGUGGAGUGUUUCACUUCAGAGACUCAUCGGAGCUCUGCUUGACUGGAAGUGCUUAAUAUCCAAGAAAAUAAAGUUCAAAGGAAUUUUUUUUUCUCCUUUUGAAAAUAUUAAAUUCAGGGAGUGUGACUCCAACGGGAAUGAAGAAGGCAAAUGGAAAAACUUUUGGCGGAGUGAAUUGAGGUUUCACAUGCAGCUCAAUGGCAUUUUUCUGUCCGUAUGUCAUGCGAUAGCUUAUGAACG